ACUUGACACUGAGCAAUCAGUAACAACCAGUUCACUUUAAAAUUUUUUUUGUUAUAAUUUUGGUGUUCACCUGCUACGACUGCAAGAGGGAAUCAGAUGGCUUUCACGUCUUAGCUGUUUUUGGGCACACCAGACCAGGCCCAGGCCAGGAACAACUUUGCGUUGCGUAACAAUGCCGCCGCGCAGCUGCUGGGGAAGUGACAUUUAAAUGAGCUGUCACCGAGAAAGAGAUGUGGAGUGGGAGGAAGAGAGGGAGGAGAAGGGCAAUCGCAGGAUAAAGCCCGGGCCUGUCAGGAGACGGGCCCCAUGCGGCUCCACAUCCAGUAGAUGUUCGUCCUCCAGAUCAUUGGCCAGAACCUGUCCGGGGAGAGAAGUUCAGACAGAAGGCAGCCCACAGACUGGUACUUCUCUUUGCUUACUCUCUCAUCGAUUCACAUAUUCACACACCCAUAGCCUCAGAAGACAGUCACAGCACAAUCAUGUGAGCUGUUCCAUCUCUUAUCCUUAGCAUUGUGUUUUGCCCCGGGGACAACACAUCUCCUCUUCAGCAGUAGGUCUGAUUACACGCUCUGUAUCCAAUCCACCAUGGCUGUAUUGAUUUAAGGAUUUGUUAAUGUCAUAGUAUGUGGUUCUUUAGAUUACUGAAUGAUGAAUCUUUAUAAAAAUGGUUGAAUGGAUUGCUGAUGCUGUGAACAGUUGAAAUGACUUUAUGUCCGUGGUUUAUUUAAUUUUUGAGAGGUCUGUUAGAGAAGAAGCUGAAUUUUGGUGAAGGAUUGGGAACAUUGUCAUGCUGUCACACAAUAAUAAGGGUUGCUCAGCCUUCAGAAGCCAGCCUAAUUCUGGAGAGUUCAGUUAUGACCAUUUUGCAAUGGUAAGUCACGCAUGUGACAUAGGCUCAAGUCACAGGGUAUUACUGCUAUGACAUAAAGAACUGUAGGAUCCAGUGCUGGAAAGGGCAGAAACUACUGCGAUAAUUUGUUAAAUAGGAGCCACACAGUCAUUAUGGAGAUAUCUGAUGUUAAUGGGACUCAGACUAUAUACAGCAAGAAGUUUCUAAUAAUGAGCAAAUUCUAUCUGUAUCAUCAGUUCAUACAUUUUAUUAGACAUAAGACACAGGUUAAGACUCAGUAAAAACUGUUGGUCAGUUGUGAUGGCUUUAAAUUAACAUGUUUGAUGAAUAAUCUAUAGACAUACAUUAAAAAUACUAUUAUUAAGGAAAACAGUAAGUACUCUAAGCAGGAUUCAUGUGUGUACAGUAUACCUUUGCUGAAGGUAUUAAAUCUCAAUUUAACAAAGUAAAAUAAAUGCGACGCAAAAUAAAAGGCUGACAUGUAAUGUGAUAAAGGCACCAAUUGUUGAUAUCAUUGAUAACUUUUCAUUUGACAUUCCUUCUGUACAGUAAGUAGCUAAAAGUCAAUCCCAACUAAAUCUUAAUAACCAUGUGUUUUGGACUUCAUGAAGAGGAAAUAUUUCCAACUGUGACUGCAGCUUCCACAAAUACCUGGACUUUUAAAGUAAAAUGCCUCAAGGCCGUAGCCAUGUUGGUGAAUGUGAUGUGGUAAAUGACCACAUCACAGUCACAGUUAAACCUUAAAUAAGCUCCUUCAAAAGUGUGAACAAUUCAGCAAAGUUGUUUUACGCCCUAUUCCUCAGGAUUGAAAAGCACAGUCAAUUUGCUCUCUUUGGUUCAACUCCACAGCAACUUGAACCAAUGACCAGACCUCAGACCUUUGCCAGUUUUCAUUACAUACACAAUUACAAUUUUUUUUUUUCUGAGGUACAUCAUAACACUGAGAUGCAGAGAUUGAAAAAGAAAACUAAAAUUUAAUAAGCUGGAGGUGAUAUUUUUAAGUGAUUAAACACAACAUAAUGCUUCAUAAUGAAAGAAAUGACAAGAAAACUUCGUGCAGUGCCACAUCUCAUGGCCUGAGGGGAGGCCAGCACUGAUGUCAAUGGAAAUCAUAUCAGUACAGUAAUAACUUCUGAUGGCAAAUAAUGAGUUCAGUUUUUUUUUUUUUUUUUUUUUUUUUUACCACAAGGCCACUUGAGGUUAUUGGCACAAAAGAUAGCUUUAGUAAGUGUACAGCAUCCUAAUUUAUGAACAUUAUCAUCAUCAUCAUCUUCAUUUGUUUUUAACUGAGCUUGAUAAUUCAUUUUGCAACACAAACUAACAUCCUCCUAAUCUGAUGCCUGGUUUGACCUCCUGGCCAAUCUCAUGGUGCAAAAUAAAAGCAGUGUUUAAAAACCUCUCAGUAAUAUUUGAGUAAAUUUUAGCUGAUUAGCUAAUAUAUUUUUGCACCCCGAGAUUGGAGGAUGAUGUCAAACUAAGAGACGUUCACUGCCGUGGAUCAGUGGUGCCCCCCUCUAGUGGUACUUAGACAGCAAAUGACUUCUUUCCCCAUCUAUCACAGUGUAGCUAAGGAAAAAUAAACUGUGUGGAAACAGCAUUUACCCAUUCAAAUGAUGUGUUUGUGUUUUAGGGCAGGUGCACCAGAGAAACAUAUUUAAGCCAUCGCAGAGAAAACUAAACAAACAAAUCAAAACAAACAAACAAACAAACAAAAAAAAAAAGUAAUAAAUCAAUGGCUAACAACGUGUGCAGAAAGAUAAGGCUCAGUCACGCCAUUGCAUCAGUUCUUUUGUAACAAGCCAGACGGGUGCACAGUAAGGAUCACUUCCAUCUUCAUCUGAGUCUCCUUCUUUGAGUAAAGUCCACCCGUGUCACAAGAUGCCUUCAGAAAACAGUUCUCAUUGCAUGGUGAGGGACGUGGCAAAACAAUUACAGGUCCACUGAAAAAUAUGGAUGUGAUCACACUAAAAAAAAACAACAACAUUUCUGAAGUUUAAGAGUAAGGUGGAACACCGUCUUUGACAGGCACAUUACUCCUCUCCUCAUGUGACUGAAAUGUGGUGAACGUGCAGUCACAUGUCUCACAUCCUAUGCUUAGAAGUGUGGUCAUUGCAGUUACUGCAGCACGUCCCUUCAGCUUGGAUGCAUCACAAGUGUGCUGCUAUGCCCAUUUUUUGGGGGUUCACUGAUAAUGAUAAUAAUUAAAAAAAAAAAAAAAAAAAAA